AUUGAACGCUGGCGGCAGGCCUAACACAUGCAAGUCGAACGAGUGGCGGACGUGUGAGUAAUGUCUGGGAAACUGCCUGAUGGAGGGGGAUAUCUAGUGGACACUGUAUAUUAUACCUCAUAACCUCGGAUGCGCACAUAGGGGAUUCUCUAGUAGGUGGGGUAAAGGCUCACAUAGGCGACGAUCCCUAGCUGGUCUGAGAGGAUGACCAGCCACACUGGAACUGAGACACGGUCCAGACUCCUACGGGAGGCAGCAGUGGGGAAUAUUGCACAAUGGGCGCAAGCCUGAUGCAGCCAUGCCGCGUGUAUGAAGAAGGCCUUCGGGUUGUAAAGUACUUUCAGCGGGGAGGCGUUACCCGCAGAAGAAGCACCGGCUAACUCCGUGCCAGCAGCCGCGGUAAUUC
rnacentral:rRNA from 1 species